rnacentral:misc_RNA from 1 species
AACGCACAUUGCGCCUCCUGGUAUUCCGGGAGGCACACCUGUUCGAGCGCCGUUUUCAAACUAAGGCUUAACUUUUGUUAAUAAGUCCUUGCGUUGACAAAUUUCUGAGAAGAAAUUGUCGAAACACUUCAACGCCUGUUGGCACAGCAUACGCAGCGUAAUGCGAGUUGUUGUGUCAACGGCGGUUCGUCACGAGAAGUUUGGCCUCGGAUCAGGUGGGGAUACCCGCUGAACUUAA